rnacentral:rRNA from 1 species
UACGGGGGGGGUAAGCGUUGUUCGGAAUUACUGGGCGUAAAGGGCUCGUAGGCGGCCAACUAAGUCGGACGUGAAAUCCCUCAGCCUAACUGGGGAACUGCGUCCGAUACUGGAUGGCUUGGAUUUGGGAGAGGGAUGCGGAAUUCCAGGUGUAGCGGUGAAAUGCGUAGAUAUCUGGAGGAACACCGGUGGCGAAGGCGGCAUCCUGGACCAAUAUUGACGCUGAGGAGCGAAAGCUAGGGGAGCAAACGGG